rnacentral:rRNA from 1 species
UACGUAGGGUGCGAGCGUUAAUCGGAAUUACUGGGCGUAAAGUGUGCGCAGGCGGCGCCGCAAGUCGAGUGUGAAAGCCCCGGGCUUAACUUGGGAAUUGCGCUCGAAACUAUGGUGCUGGAGUGUGGCAGAGGAAGGUGGAAUUCCACGUGUAGCGGUGAAAUGCGUAGAGAUGUGGAGGAACACCGAUGGCGAAGGCAGCCUUCUGGGCCAACACUGACGCUCAUGCACGAAAGCGUGGGGAGCAAACGGG